CAAACCAGCAAGGUAAAAGAAGAGAGGCCAGGUCAUCUGGUAAACGUUGGCCUGUAACACAGUUCAUGGAAGGCUGCUUGGUGCCCAUUCAUCCCCAAGACACCCACACGUGAGAAUUCACCAGUACAAAGAUGUUUAAGACUUAUUUCAGAAGGAAUCCAGAUGAUGAGUCCAUUUGCAGUUUAGAAAAACUGAUUUAUAGCAUUACGGUGGAGAUGAUCUCUACUAAAGCCUGGCACGCUGGAGGAAGAGCAAUGAGACCAGGGUCUCUGCAGCAGAGCAGGACAAGGAAGGUGAGAUGCUGAGGGAUAAUGCAAUAAUAAUCGCCUUGAGUCAGUAAGCUAUGGCUGUAUAAGAAACGAUUCAAAAAUGCAAUGGCUUGAAACAAUAGCUUUGGUUCUUAAGGACCCGCGGGUCAUCUAGGGGUUUGCUGACCCAAGCUGGGCUGGGCCCCGUUCAAGCUGCAGGGUCUGACUGUGAUGGGCAUCUCCCUCAGGUCUGCUCCAUGAUGCUGUUCUGCACCUCAGGUAAGAGUGUACCAAUGAGCCUGAGGAAACUCUUCUUGAUGUGGCAGCAAAGGCCAGAAAGAAAGCCCACUGACAGGUGCAUUUCAAGCUCGUGCUUCCUUUCUUGGAGGGCACACAAUGGAGCUCAAAGUCAAGGGGCAGGGAAGUAGACUUUGCCCAUCAGAACACCAUGGCGAAAGUGUGUACACAGAAGUGAUGACAAGGCCAAUGAUUUCAUCUACUGUAUCACUUGGCUUGGGCUACGAAAGGAACAGAGAAGAGGCGGGGAGUGGUCAAGUUGUGCAUAAAUUGUGCACAUAAAGCUCACAGGAUUUGUAAGUAUAUCAGACAUGAGGUCAGAGAGACAAGGAGACCUUGAGGAUGACAUUCCUUAUCCACGUGCCCAGAAAUGUCUUUUUCUAGAAUUUUACUUUAGAUUGAUAUUUAGCUCACUUGCUCUAUUUCUAGUAUUUUGGUACUUCUCUUGACUUCCACAAUCUCCUUAAAGACAUCUCAGUUUCAUAUUGUUUUAUUACUAGGAGACAUAACCGAUCUGAAUCAGGUGAGGUGAUGUGUGUAUAUAUUCAGCAGCGCCGGCAUUCUCCUGCUGCUGCCCCCUCCACAAUAAGGCUGCAGUUUCUCCCCAGCAGUGUCCAAACUACCCCUUCAGUCCACCAAUGACUCCUCUCAAAAUGCAAAGACUAAGUACAGAAGCCUUUGUUUCUCCCUGAUUAGUCAUCAGCAUUAAACAUCGGGUCUAAUGGUGCGUCUGUCCAUUCCUUCUUCCAUUUUUUUUUCUCCAAACAUUUCUAAGGUCGAACUAUAUUCUGAGUACAGUCUUUAAGACAGUAGGGAAUGUUCAGAGGAUUUUCAUCAUACUUGGUUAACAUUUUUAAAAGUUUUGGCACUUAAAGUCAUAGGCUUUAGUUAUUUGGAAUAUUUAUCUAUAAUAAAUAGUCCAUUCCCCAGCGUUGGUAAAUAAAUGAGGCAUUGCUCCAUUGCGCUUUUGUUGAUUUAUGCAUCGACACGGGGAGUGUGCUCCAUUUAGCAAUGCAAAGAGGGUACACAUUCAGUUUGUUCUGUUGCUAUGUGUACUGUUUAGUCCCAGGAUACCUUGAACUGGAAAGAAGCCCUGUUGAGUGACAGGGUUACAUAAUUCUACCUUCUUGGUAAACUGUUUUGGGCCUCAGCGCCCCCAGCUCAGAUAUCUGUCUAUCAGGAGACAUGUGGGUCUUGAAUUGUUCAUUCUGGUUUGACCCUAAGCCAAAAACUUUUGCAGAAGCCUGAGUCCUGGGCCUCCUUCCCAAGCAACCACCAGUGUCAUAGAAGUAACCAGUUCCUGCCUGUUACUGCAGCUCCUGUUGACAGGAAAUGCCUUUUCAAAAGAAAGGCAAUGAAAAACGGUUCCCUUGCAGGUGGAGUUUUCUGGCUCAUGUAAGGAUUAGAAAUGAAAUUAGCCAUUGGAAAUUUCAUUCAGAUCAGUCCAAACAUUGCAAAGUACAACAAACGCAGACCUUUCCUCAUUGGGUAAUCAAGUUCAAUUUCUCUCCAUGUCUUUUCUCCCAAGCAGACAGCUGUGAAACCCUUAUUAACUGUUUUUCAUGGACCCAGUUGCUGCUAAAGUCUACAGAGAUAGAACAUUCCAGAAUGAGCCCUGACCUUGAAGGGCUUGGUGAUCUAGUCUGGAAUACCAGAGCCACCCACAGAAACUGCUCCGUGAAUUAGGCAGCCCAUGAUCCAGCAGCCAGCCAUGUGGGUCAGACAAUAAGGAGUUCAGAGCCAACAACAACGGCUAAGUGCAUUGUGGAACCAACUUCAGGAGAAAUGGGAACGUGACAAAAUAGUAUAAAUAAGAUGGCUGAUUUGGACAUUUCAACCUCUACUGUUUCCUUUCUUCCAACUCCAGUUUCCCUGCAACAGAUCAAAACCUCUUUGUAGUAGUAAUCACUUGAAAAUAAAUUUAAACCACUUUAACACAAUAUUCUUAUUUUGGAUGGACCUACCGUCCGUCCAUCACCCUGGCCACUCCUGCAAAAGGACGCAUAAUCCAUCACAGAGCUUUCUGCACACUGCUCCCCUGUUCAAACACAAAUGGCUUCCUACGGCCAACGUCAGUCAGCCUUUCUUGGAGUUCCAUAGUCUCCCCAGCAGGGUCCUGCCUCACCCACCCAUAUGUGAGUUACAGCACAAGGGCUUAUCCUUGAGAGCAUGGUCAAUAACGUCUCCCAUUUUCCACCGUCCUGAAUCUGACACCUGUGACCUCACACGGGACCACGGUAUUUUACAGAGUCAACAAUAUAUCUGAUUUGACUGUUUCCCAUGUGUAAGUCUUAUCUUUCCAGUUGGAUAACAUUUUCUUCCAGUACAAGCUGAUGCAAUAUUAUUGGAAAAGUUUUUGAGUUUUUCCUCAACCUAUAGCACAUAAUAAAUAUUUAAUAAACCACUCAUUGAUUGGUUUUAAUUUCUGUGGAACUAGAGGAAGGGCCAGGACUAGGAGGGAGCAAGUGAGGUGCC